CUAAUCGUUAUACAUCGUAUAGUAUUAUAGUACCUACCGUGUACUUAACUGCUUUUGUAAAUCUACCUAUACGGUUAGACCAGUUACUUAGAUUAAUGCUGUAAAACAUUAAAGUGCAUCUUUCAACAUACCAUAUACCUAGGUAUGUUCGUAGGUACCUACUUACUGAAUUAACGGAUUGCAUGGAAGAAUUUUACUUAUAAAUCCUAAUUUGUAGGAUUGUUGAUAUCACAUCGGCCAUCGAUAUUAUGUCAAAACAUGUUUUGCAAAGAUUUCAAUCUCGUGUACUUGAAACUUUUACGUAGAUACAUACCAGUGGCGGUUUCUACGUAGCCGGUCCAGGGAUUUGGACUCCCCAGGAUCCGAGCAAAUUAACAUUUUGUUAUUUAAUAAAUUAAGACGUUUAGUAGUCAUGACCGGAUUGGCCUGGCGAAUUACCGAGUAAAAGUCGGUGGGCCGUUCAAGUCAUGUGGGGCCGCUGACUAAAAAUAUGUUAAGAGUUAAAAGUUGAUGAAAUGGAGACUAUAAAGAAAAAAAAACUAUGCUCGGAAUAAGAAUGUAUCUAAGGGCCGCCAG